AGAGUUUGAUCAUGGCUCAGAACGAACGCUGGCGGCAGGCUUAACACAUGCAAGUCGAGCGCCCAGCAAUGGGAGCGGCGCACGGGUGAGUAACACGUGGGAACGUGCCCUUUGGUUCGGAAUAACGUAGGGAAACUUGCGCUAAUACCGGAUAAGCCCUAACGGGGAAAGAUUUAUCGCCAAUGGAGCGGCCCGCGUCCGAUUAGCUAGUUGGUGGGGUAAAAGCCUACCAAGGCAACGAUCGGUAGCUGGUCUGAGAGGACGACCAGCCACACUGGGACUGAGACACGGCCCAGACUCCUACGGGAGGCAGCAGUGGGGAAUCUUGGACAAUGGGGGAAACCCUGAUCCAGCCAUGCCGCGUGAGUGAUGAAGGCCCUAGGGUUGUAAAACUCUUUCGGCGGGGACGAUAAUGACGGUACCCGCAGAAGAAGCUCCGGCUAACUUCGUGCCAGCAGCCGCGGUAAUACGAAGGGGGCUAGCGUUGUUCGGAAUUACUGGGCGUAAAGCGCGCGCAGGCGGUCCUUUAAGUCAGGGGUGAAAGCCCAGAGCUCAACUCUGGAACUGCCUUUGAAACUAGAGGACUUGGGUACGGGAGAGGUGAGUGGAAUUCCGAGUGUAGAGGUGAAAUUCGUAGAUAUUCGGAAGAACACCAGUGGCGAAGGCGGCUCACUGGCCCGUUACCGACGCUCAGGCGCGACAGCGUGGGGAGCAAACAGGAUUAGAUACCCUCGUAGUCC
rnacentral:rRNA from 1 species